GUACAGAUAGAAGCGACCGAGAGGAGGGGCGCUAGCUUGGUCAGUUGGCCCGAGAAGCUCCAGCUCGUACUCCGGAGGAACUCCAUACUGAAUCCUUAUCAGUGAGAGUUCAUCCAGAGUCAAAGAGCUGGGGAUGGUGUCCAGCGCAAAGACCAGACGAGGUUCGGUCCUAACUACGGGUUCGUUUACGAUACAAGGACUUUGGGGAACUGGGGCUGACGAACUCCUAAAAUCGCUAGAAGAGGAGAUAUCAGAAGACAUUUUCGAUCAAAUGGAAGCCACAAAAAUCUCAAAAAAAAUCAAAAAAAAUAGCAAACAAGCUCUCGAGGAAGCUAAAUGAACGGAAUAUACAGAAAAAUGAUAAGAAGUUCCGAAACUAACCUAGGUUGGCCCAAGGAGUGUAGGA
rnacentral:lncRNA from 1 species